GCCGGCUGCGGAGAUGGCAUGCCUCCCUGCGGUCGAGCACGGCGCGUUGCGCGCGCGAGUCGGCCCUCAACCGCCGGUGAGCCCGGCUGAUGAUGCCUGCGUGUUC
rfam:Burkholderia vietnamiensis G4 chromosome 2, complete sequence.